AGCCUCCUCCUGCAGCUGCUGCUGGAAUAGUGAAAGUGUUGGUUUGAACCUCAGAAGGAAACAGACUCAUAAGCUACCCAUAUAAAUGUAAUCUAUAAAACAAUGGUUUUCACCCAUGAUCCUUUAAAAUAUAUAUUUUUAAGCUCUAACUCUUGAGAUUCUGAUUCUCCAGGCAGGGCCCCACUUUGUAGAUUUUUAGCACACUCUGGAGGAUUCUAUGGUGGGACCAGAACAAGGACCCCAAUUUUCUAGCUCUUGACUGGAGCCUCCCCAUACCCUGCAUGAUCCCUAGACCAUGGUCCCGGCCGGAUGGGGAUCCCACAACCCCCGGGGCUGCAACCGCUUGCCUGUGGCAGCAGGGGCUUGGCCCUCUCCACCUUUCUUUCUAGCUCCUUUAUGUUGAGCUGGAUCUCAGACUUUUGAGUCUCUUGAAGUCGAACUUUUUCUUCUAAUUUGAUAUUUUUCUCCUUCAGCUCCUCAUCGAUUAUGCUAUGGCCAGAGACAGUAGAGAAAGGAAUGAACGAAGAACAGAAAGGAACGCUUUGGUGACCAACCCUCUGCUUUCACCCCACAACCACAGAACCGUGGCAUUGGAUGGGACCCCAGGAAUUAAAAGUCCCAGGUGGCAGGCCAGAGAGAAGAUAUGAGUUGCCUGAGGCUACCCCUGACAGCAGAGAGGGCCCGCUCUAAUUCUCCGGCAAACUUCCAUGAUUCAUGGAGGCGGCACACCAGAUCCCUGGUCUCUCCUGGAAUGAGAGACAUUCAGAUGCGGCCCAAAGGACUCCCCCUAAAGGCUUGUCAAAGUGCCAGGUUUUAAGAUGACAGGGUGCCGGAUGCCCACCUUGCAGCUGCUGGACAGCAUGCUGGCUGUCAUACAGUGCCGCCUGAAGCUCCGUUUGCUGAAAUAAAGAGGAAGACAGAGCUCUUACCAGGGGGAGGCAGAGAUGGCACAGCAAGGGACAUGCCCCCAGAAUGGCACCACUGCCCCAGGACAGGCCCACCCAUGGGACCAGCAGAUGGAGAGGAUUCAAACCCAGAAUUCUUAACCAGUGCCUGGGAGAUCUUCCACAAUCUUAACAAUUACCCUCCACCACCCCUUGGGCCCUCUGUCCCCAGGAGCCUGGCCAGCCAAGACUCACAUCCUCAGGUCCCACAGUCCCCAAUCCCCUUCCAGCUGGAAACCUGUGCUAUAACCAGAGGAACCAGAAAUGGGCAAGAACACUCAGGGGACUGGGUCCUAAGACCAAAGACCAGUCUCGUGGCAGUAAUGACAGUUCCUAGAGGGACUGUGACAUCACUACAUUCCACUCCUCAGUGGAGUGGUGGGGAG
rnacentral:lncRNA from 1 species